rnacentral:rRNA from 1 species
UAACACAUGCAAGUCGAGGCGGUAUUAGUUUUCGGACUAAGAGACCGGCGCACGGGUGCGUAACGCGUAUGCAAUCUACCUUUUACAGAGGGAUAGCCCAGAGAAAUUUGGAUUAAUACCUCAUAGUAUAGCAGUUUCGCAUGAAACCACUAUUAAAGUCACAACGGUAAAAGAUGAGCAUGCGUCCCAUUAGCUAGUUGGUAAGGUAACGGCUUACCAAGGCUACGAUGGGUAGGGGUCCUGAGAGGGAGAUCCCCCACACUGGUACUGAGACACGGACCAGACUCCUACGGGAGGCAGCAGUGAGGAAUAUUGGACAAUGGGCGCAAGCCUGAUCCAGCCAUGCCGCGUGCAGGAUGACGGUCCUAUGGAUUGUAAACUGCUUUUGUACGAGAAGAAACACUCCUAUGUAUAGGAGCUUGACGGUAUCGUAAGAAUAAGGAUCGGCUAACUCCGUGCCAGCAGCCGCGGUAAUACGGAGGAUCCAAGCGUUAUCCGGAAUCAUUGGGUUUAAAGGGUCCGUAGGCGGUUUAGUAAGUCAGUGGUGAAAGCCCAUCGCUCAACGGUGGAACGGCCAUUGAUACUGCUGAACUUGAAUUAUUAGGAAGUAACUAGAAUAUGUAGUGUAGCGGUGAAAUGCUUAGAGAUUACAUGGAUACCAAUUGCGAAGGCAGGUUACUACUAAUU